UUUACUCCUACCGGAGGCAGCAGUGGGGAAUAUUGCACAAUGGGCGGAAGCCUGAUGCAGCGACGCCGCGUGAGGGAUGACGGCCUUCGGGUUGUAAACCUCUUUCAGUAGGGAAGAAGCGAAAGUGACGGUACCUGCAGAAGAAGCGCCGGCUAACUACGUGCCAGCAGCCGCGGUAAUACGUAGGGCGCAAGCGUUAUCCGGAAUUAUUGGGCGUAAAGAGCUCGUAGGCGGUUUGUCGCGUCUGCCGUGAAAGUCCGGGGCUCAACUCCGGAUCUGCGGUGGGUACGGGCAGACUAGAGUGAUGUAGGGGAGACUGGAAUUCCUGGUGUAGCGGUGAAAUGCGCAGAUAUCAGGAGGAACACCGAUGGCGAAGGCAGGUCUCUGGGCAUUAACUGACGCUGAGGAGCGAAAGCAUGGGGAGCGAACAGGAUUAGAUACCCUGGUAGUCCAUGCCGUAAACGUUGGGCACUAGGUGUGGGGGACAUUCCACGUUUUCCGCGCCGUAGCUAACGCAUUAAGUGCCCCGCCUGGGGAGUACGGCCGCAAGGCUAAAACUCAAAGGAAUUGACGGGGGCCCGCACAAGCGGCGGAGCAUGCGGAUUAAUUCGAUGCAACGCGAAGAACCUUACCAAGGCUUGACAUGAACCGGUAAGACCUGAAACCAGUCCCCCCCU
rnacentral:rRNA from 1 species